rnacentral:misc_RNA from 1 species
UUGGGAUACUCCUCAAGCCCUAGAAGACAAGUAUGGUGGCUUUUUAAGCUCUAAUAUUGUGUAAGUAUACUAACUUCAUAUUACAUUUUCAAAAUGUUAAAGGUUCAAACUUUUUAUAUCAAUUUCUUUGAAUAAUAAUAUUCUCAUCUAAGUUAUAAAACAUCUUAUUAAACAAUUGCAUAAAAUAUAGGAAUGAUUAUCGUGAUUAUGCGGAUCUUCUCUUUGAAAAAUUUGGUGACCGAGUGAAGUAUUGGAUGACCUUU